GGCACGAUGCCAGAGUGGUUAAUGGGUGAGACUUGAAUUCCUUGAUGAACGAAAUCUCAUGACUUCGGUCGCGUAGGUUCGAACCCUACUCGUGUCG